rnacentral:sRNA from 1 species
UGCAAGAUCCCAAAAACCAAGUCCGCCUUCUUUCUUUGAAUAUUGAAGUUUUUUCCUUGCUAUCUAUGGUUCUGCUCUCUGAUUUGAAGCUU